CUUGGUCAUUUAAGGAAGUAAAAGUCGUAACAAGGUUUCCGUAGGUGAACCUGCGGAAGGACAUUAUCGAAAUAAAUCUGAUGGGUUGUUGCUGGUUCUCUAGGGAGCAUUGCACGCCUUGUCAUCUUUAUAUCUCCACCUGUGCACUUUUUGUAGACCUUCAAGGUCUAUGUUGCUUCAUUUACCCCCAAACAAAUAAUAGAAUGUUUGCCUUUGAAAAAUCUAUACAACUUUCAGCAACGGAUCUCUUGGCUCUCCAUCGAUGAAGAACGCAGCGAAAUGCGAUAAGUAAUGUGAAUUGCAGAAUCAGUGAAUCAUCGAAUCUUUGAACGCACCUUGCGCUCCUUGGUAUUCCAGGAGCAUGCCUGUUUGAGUGUCAUUAAUAUAUAUAUCAACCCUCUUCUUUGUUGAGUGGUCUGGAUGUGGGGGUUUGCUUUGCUGGCCUCUUUUUGAAGGUUCAGCUCCCCUGAAAUGCAUUAGCAGAACGACCUGUUCAUUGGUGGAUAAACUAUCUACGCUAUUGAACGUGAGGCAGUUCAGCUUCCUAACAGCCUCCGGACAAAAUUUAUCAUUUAAUGUGACCUCAAAUCAGGUAGGACUCCCGCUGAACUUAAGCAUAUCAAUAAGCGGAGGA
rnacentral:rRNA from 1 species